CAAAAUUUUAAAUUUAGUUUUGACAUCUGCUAUCCAGAAUAAAUAAUCAUUUGACUGUGUAGGAGUUGCUUCAUUGAGGAAACAGUGUGCCAGUGUUUUCAUGGUGUGGAGACUUCAAACUUGGACAUAAUGUUUUUAUUCAUUUAACCAACAAAUAUUUAUGUAGCACCUAGGAUGGUCCAGAAGAUCUUGGAAAUGGCAGUCCUGCUUCAGACAUCAAGUGCCAACAUCAGUAAAAUACCUGUGUGUCUGUGUCAUUGCCAUAUUUAUUUGUUCAAUUAGUAUAGUUGGUUACAUUUCUCUUUAUUUUAUUGCCUUAAGUUUGAUUUAUUUUCAUAUUUUUACAGAGAUUUAUAUGUACUGUAGUAAUGUUUUUAUGGAAAAAGAAUUAGUGACCCUAGAGGCACCAAUAGAAAAAAAAAACCCACGAAACUUAAGGAAAUUUAAGAAAUAAUGUAUCUUUGUCAUUUAAACUAAUGACAAGUUCGUGAAAAGAUGGCUGACCGCCUCGUUACUUUGUCCUUACAUGGCCUUUCCUUUGGGUGUGCGCACUCCUGGUGUCUCUUCCUCAUAUGAAGACAACUCCUACUGGAUUAGAGCCCACUGUUAUAAUCUCAUUUAACCUUAGUCAUCUCCUUAAAGGCCUUGUCUUCAAAUACAGUUACAUUGAGAGGUAGGGCUCCAAUAGAAGAAUUUUGGUGGGGAGGGGCACAAUGCAGUCCAUAACAAAGACCAAGUCUGGUAUUAAUAUGUCUAUCUGGGCCGGGCGCGGUGGCUCACGCCUGUAAUCCCAGCACUUUGGGAGGCCGAGGAGGGCGGAACACGAUGUCAGGAGAUCGAGACCAUCCUGGCUAACACGGUGAAACCCCGUCUCUACUAAAAAAUACAAAAAAUAGUUAGCCGGGCAUGGUGGUGGGCGCCUGUAGUCCCAGCUACUCGGGAGGCUGAGGCAGGAGAAUGGCAUGAACCUGGGAGGCGGAGCUUGCAGUGAGCUGAGAUCACGCCACUGCACUCCAGCCUGGGUGACAGAGCGAGACUUUGUCUCAAAAAAAAAAAAAAAAAAAAAUAUAUAUAUA